rnacentral:rRNA from 1 species
UACGUAGGAUGCAAGCGUUAUCCGGAAUCACUGGGCGUAAAGCGUCCGCAGGUGGACAAGCGAGUCAAAUGUAAAAUGCCGGUGCUCAACAUCGGCAUCGUAUUUGAUACUACUUGUCUAGAGGAUGGGAGAGGCUAGUGGAAUUCUCGGUGUAGGGGUAAAAUCCGUAGAUAUCGAGAGGAACACCAAAAGCGAAGGCAGCUAGCUGGAACAUUCCUGACACUCAUGGACGAAAGCGUGGGGAGCGAAAAGG